rnacentral:rRNA from 1 species
UACAGAGGGGGCAAGCGUUAUUCGGAAUUAUUGGGCGUAAAGGGCGCGUAGGCGGCCUGACAAGUGGAUGGUGAAAUCCCUCGGCUUAACCGAGGAACUGCCAUCCAGGCUGUUUGGCUUGAGACCGGGAGAGGUGAGUGGAAUUCCCAGUGUAGCGGUGAAAUGCGCAGAUAUCAGGAGGAACACCGGUGGCGAAGGCGGGACUCUGGGCCGAUAUUGACGCUGAGGAGCGAAAGCGUGGGGAGCGAACAGG